AUCAAAAGUACACCAUCCCCAUCGUGAAAGGGAGUGUAAAAGGAAAUGGUGCAAUCAGCUGCACAUGUACCUUCUUGAUCUUCAAAUCCUGAGGAAAAUUUCCCUUCAUUUUCUUCUUCUUACUAUCGCCAUUGGUAUUGAUGUUGUGAACUUUCAUGUUUAUGUUUUUGAUACCAUCAAAUAAAGCAUGUAUGAUAUAU
rnacentral:misc_RNA from 1 species